rnacentral:tRNA from 1 species
GUUCCUGUAGUUGAAUAUCAGUCAGCGGUGGUUUUUCAAGCCACAGGUCUUGGAGAAAAGCCAAGCAGGAAUU